UUUUUUCUGGAGCUAUUUGAAGGCCAUAAGUGGCCAGGCUACUCACUGUUGCCUUUACCGCUGAUUGUAAAAGUUGGGGUGAUUUUCCUGCAAGUAAAAUAUCAUCCAUAUAAUGAUAACAAAGAAUGUGAGGAUGUUGUUUGCGAACCUCUGAAAGUGCCUUUGCAACAAUAUGUCCUUGUUGUAACUGAGCUUCUACCAGUUGCCAUAAAGCUUCGGCCUUCUCAAAAGGGAGGGGCCACUGAUCCACCCAUACCGGCUCAUCUGUGAGCCAGGUUAACGAAAUGGUACGCCGGUUUACAGUGACCCCAAUUAAAAAUGCUUCUCAUUUUUAUUUGUGGAAAUUGUAACCCCCCAAGCUCCAAGUACAUCACGCCCCAAAGAUUAAGUGGUACAUCCACUACAAAUGGGCGGAUAUUAGCUGUCUAUCCCUCCGGCCCUAUGAUUUGAAUAAUGGCAGUACUUCGCUUGGAAGAUGACACUCCCCCAAUGCUGGCAAUACCCACAAUCACGCUAGUGGUCUGCCAAGUUUUUGGCCAGUGAUUAGAAGAAAUUAUGGUUAUAUCAGCACCAGAGUCUAUCAUUCCUUGGAGCAUUAGCUGUUGUGGCUUCGCUCCCUCAUUUUUCAUGCAACAAGUUAAUGUGGGACGGUUACGUUGAAUGUGUUGUGUCCAAUAUAUUUGUGGCAUUCCGGUAGAUCCGAAACCAUGUUUUCCCCAGUGCCUUACAUUCAGCACUGUCCCUUUAAAAGGAAUGAGUUGUGCAAUUCGGCUGCCAGCUGGUAUAUAUACAGGAGGUGACGGAGUCCAGACCAUAGCUUGUAUUUGGCCUGUGAAGUCUGCAUCGAUUACGCCUGGGAGUAUGAAAAGCCCUAGAGACGUAGUACUCAAUCGUCCUAACAAUAAGGCACUUAAGUCCUCUCCGAGAGGGCCAUAUAUUGAGAGAGGAAUUUUGCGGACAGCAUUGUCUUUUAUGGUGAUAUCGGUGGCUGUGGUAACAUCCACUCCGGCACUUUCGCGGGUUUGCGCUCGGAGGCUGGCCAAGCCCCUGGGCAUGGCUGGCUCUGGGGUGGUUGAGUCGGGAGUUUUUGUGUCUGGGCGCACCCCUGUCUCAUGCUCCUUUUCCCCUUUCCCGAUAGCGGUUGACCAUUGAUAUCAAAUUGAGACCGGCACUGGUUAGCAAAGUGCCUGCCUUUUCUGCAUUGGGGGCAUAUAGCUGGUUGCUGUGGUUUCAAUUCUGGGCCUUUCGGGCAAACCCUUUUGAAAUGCCCUAAAGAGCCGCACCAAAAACACGCGCGAUUAUUCGUUUGUAAAGACGCCGCCAUCGCAGCCACAAAGGAUUCAUUAUUGUAAGCAACAGUUCCCACUCUAAGUGUCUAUCAUGUCAAUAGUAGUGGGGUUACACAAUGUUCUCAACAGUCGUUUAUAAUCCUCAUUAGCAUUUUCAAUGGCCAAUUUUAAUAAGAGAGUUUCUUGAGCUUCCGUAUUUUCUAUCUGGUUUUGUAUGGCGUCUUGUAAUCAAUCGACAAAUUGCAUAUAAGGCUCUGUAGCCCCCUGUUUUAUGCUUGUAAAAGACUUCACUGCUUUGCCAGUAUCAGGUACCUUAAGCAUCACCUCAUAUGCGAGGUCCGCUGACUGUCGUAAGAUUUCAGGUAUUAGUCGGGCCUGUAACUGCGGAGUUGCUAUGGGCGCCUCUCCCAUAAGUUGUGGGAUGCCCACUCCGAGCAGCGGGUCCCCUGGCUGUCAACCAAGAUUUUGUAUAGCUGCAUUAUCACAAAGCGCUCACCAAUGUGAUAACCAUAAUACCUUUUGCGUAGGCAUAAAAAUGAAGCCCGCUAGGGCCUUUGAAUCAAAUGGGGUCAUUAAAUGCCCUUUCAUAACAUUCUGCAGCAAGCUUUAUGCAAAAGGAGAGGUAAGUCCGUGUUGCAUGAUUGUUUUCCGUAAUUCUUUAACCAGAUCCCACUGUAAUGGUUCCCAAUCAUUGGGCCCCUGAUUACAAAUAAUGACAGGGCAGGUGAGCGCCUGUAUCACUAUCAGUUCCCCUUCUUCUGUCGCUUGUUGCUGGAUCUUAUGCCAGUGAUGUUCAGGAUCAUAGCUGGAGUUAAGUAACUCCUCCUGUCCAAAAGAACCUCGCAAAGUACCCAUAGAUUGAACAUUCUCAGGGGAACAAGGCAGGGUCGGUGAACCUGGCAAGUCAAGCAGAGGGGCUGCGGGAGGUGUUUGUUGCGGUGGAGCACUCACUGAACUCGAGCCAGCUUCCGCUGGCCCAGCUGCCGAUAAAGCCUCCGUCGUGGCUGCAUGGGCUGCACGAUCUGCCUCAAGUUGUUUAAAAGAGUUGAUUACUAACCGCCACGUUGUCAAUAGUCGUGUGGCGGCAUUAGCCCCUGCUGUGGCUGCAUCCCACAGUACUUCUCCAGCUUGCGACCAUGUCUCUACAUGAAAUGCAGUUUGUGCAUCUGCUGCUAUGCCUUUAUUUUUAAGCCAAAAAAGCAACAGCCGGAGAGUAUGUUCGUUGUAGGAUACACCCCGCUUUUCUAAAAUCUUUUUAAAUAUGCAGAUAAUGGACUUUUCUUCAUUCGACAUAUUUGCCCCCAUGUCGAUUCCCCGCCUCUCACCUCUCUUGGUGAUUAUCCCUGGAUUGCAGCUCUCUGGUUCCGCUGCCCUUGUCUCUAGAUAGGCUGGGGUCUCCACCGGUCGCUCGAGUAGCCGUGUUCAUGUCCCUGUUCGGGCACCAUUUGUGGAGAAUGGCGGCACGGACUCCGGUAGCCUUUUCAACCAAAGAGCUUUAUUACUCUAACAAAGCUGCUUUUAUACUUUAAGUACACGUUCAUGUGCUGCCAGGUUACAUCUGAUAGGGUAC
ensembl:lncRNA